ACGUGCGGCACAGCCGUACACCGGCACCCCGCCCCGCCAGCCCCGCUGGGGUCCCGCCUACCGGCAGCUGAUCGGCCUCACCCAAAGCCACUCAGCUCGCCGCCUGGCCUGAUUGGCAGGUCCGGAACGCUCAGUGCCUUAUGGGAGUUGUUGUUUACGUCUCUCCUCCCCUUGGCGGAGUCGUGCGCUCGGGAACUACGUUUCCCGUCAGGCUUUGCGGGCAGCGCGCCGUGUGCAAGGCAGGGUGUGCUCAUCCGGGUUCUUUCGGCCUCUUGGCCGCCCUCCCAAUCGGCACGCAGCGAGGGCGUUCCCGAGGCGUUGAUUGGUCCGUUCGGAGCAGCGAGCCCCGUUUGAAAUCAGUUAACGGCAGCGAGUGGAGGUGCUGCGCCGUGGUAAGGGGCAUUGGGCGGCUCUCGUCCCCUUGCCGUCUGGUCGCGGUUUUGCUCCGCUUUCCCUGGCCGGUUUGCCGCUACCGGACGGUGCCCGCGGCCGGCUAUCGCAGGUGA
rnacentral:lncRNA from 1 species